UGUCCGGAUUUACUGGGUGUAAAGGGCGCGUAGGCGGACUGUCAAGUCAGUCGUGAAAUACCGGGGCUUAACCCCGGGGCUGCGAUUGAAACUGACAGCCUUGAGUAUCGGAGAGGAAAGCGGAAUUCCUAGUGUAGCGGUGAAAUGCGUAGAUAUUAGGAGGAACACCAGUGGCGAAGGCGGCUUUCUGGACGACAACUGACGCUGAGGCGCGAAAGUGUGGGGAGCAAACAGGAUUAGAUACCCUGGUAGUCCACACCGUAAACGAUGGAUACUAGGUGUAGGAGGUAUCGACCCCUUCUGUGCCGCAGUUAACACAAUAAGUAUCCCACCUGGGGAGUACGACCGCAAGGUUGAACCUCCAGGA
rnacentral:rRNA from 1 species